rnacentral:misc_RNA from 1 species
UCCCACUUACCUGGGUUUGACAUAUACCGGAAAGCUGCAGAGAUGUGGCCCCCCUUGUGGUCGGUAUACAGGUGGCGCGUGGCUGUCGUCAGCUCGUGUCGUGAGAUGUUGGGUUAAGUCCCGCAACGAGCGCAACCCCUAUCUUAUGUUGCCAGCACGUUAUGGUGGGGACUCAUAGGAGACUGCCGGUGUCAAACCGGAGGAAGGUGGGGAUGACGUAGACCUUGGACC